AUACUCUCUGUUCUUCCUCCAUUGUUCUAGAGAGUUAAGAUCCAGAGAACUAAGGGACAAUCUUUUUGUGUCACCAAGGAAUCAGAAUGAAGACCCUGUUUGUCCUAGCGGCUGUCGCUGUUUUCAGUGGUGUGGUGUCUAGUCAAAAAUACAUCUCAGUAGACGGUAAAUUGCCAUGUAAACCGUGCAACCAUGACGACAUUCCUCUUGGACAAUUUAAAUUGUUAAACCCAAUCUGUGGGCCUUGUGGUGAAAUGUACGGGCCAUCUUUUGAAUUCUGCUGUAUGUGUGACCGGAAGAUCAGACGCGCAUGCGAAGAAGCCAUCCGGAAGUAGGAAUAAAAGAACGGAAUUUUAAAAAUCCUUUGUCAAACAAUUUUUACACAGAGUGUGUUUGAUCUCAGUAGUAGUUUGCAAUAAAAAUAUUUUUUAUUAAAA